AUAGCAAUUAUGUUUCUUGACUGUCCUGGGAAGCUCUAGAGCCUUCAGUGAGGAACAGGGAACAGAAGCUGCCUGGGGAAUCCUUUGACUGGUGAAUACCUGCUGCUGCAGAGAGGAUCUCAAACGUACACCACUCAUAAAUCCCAGGAUAAAAUCAAACAGGACUCUGGAGAACACUGGAGAAUACAUUAUAGUGUGUACCAAGCAAAGUUACCUUUCAAGAGGUUGACAGUUACCUCAGUGUCUGAAGGCAAUGACUUUAUUUCCAGUUCUGAAUUUGAAAAGAUAGCUGAUACGUAAUACAAUUUCUUGACAGUGGCUACGCUGUGGUUGUAAGAAACUUGGCAGAGAAUUAAUGAUGAAUUAACUUUUGUUUUGAUCUCUUGCUUUGAUAAGAUUCUAUGGGCAGAUAAUGAUUUUUUUGGAUGGAUUUGCUCUUCAUUUUCUCUUAAAACCUUUUCUUCACUGUAGGUAUUUUAAGCUUUGAUUCUAUUGUUGCCAUGUCUGUGUCAGCAAAAGCUCUAGUAGAGAAGAGUGCUGUAUCUGCAAGAACAAUUACUACUUAGCCCAGUAACUUUAGCUUUCAUUUUGUAGACUGGUGAAGGGGCAGUAAGUGUGACCAUGUCAGCAUGUGUUUUAAUUGGAGGCUCUGCAGUUGUGCUGCAGUAUCAACAUUGUAUCAGAAAAUCAUUGUGCCUGAUGUUUAUGGCUUAUCACUCUAUUCUUAUUAAGGACUUGGGUAGUUGCUUCAAAACCAGGGUCACCCAUCUUCUCCCAUUUUCUCUCUUAGCAAGUUUUCCUAGUAUUCUCUAUAUCGAUAAAUGUAGCUUUGAUUUUUCUUCUCUCACACACAAUAUUGUGGAUACGGAUUGCAUGAGCUGAAAUGAUUGCAACUAUUUCUCAUUCUGGUGGUAUGUUUUUUCUUCUCGGCUGUAUCUAGGCUUGCAAUAUGACAGGUACAACAUUUAAAUAUCAUUUGUUUGAAAUCUGCUAUCCUAAAUACCAGUGGAAAAUCAUGAGAAUCU
rnacentral:lncRNA from 7 species